rnacentral:misc_RNA from 1 species
GUGAAUCAUCAAAUCUUUGAACGCAAAUUGCACUCUCUUCGGAUAGUAUGACUGUUUGAGUGUCAGUAUUAAUAACAAUCGGUGUGUUGCUUUUUUGUGACGCUCCGGAGUUUGGUUCAUUUUAAUAUCCUUUAUGUUUUAAGAGGUUUAAAAUUGAUUCUUUUUGCGCAUUUUAUAUGUCCAUAAAUUAUUUUUUUUAUUCGUCUUUUUUAAUGCUCAAAUUAUUAUUAGUUGUGUCCUUAUCGAU